rnacentral:lncRNA from 1 species
GGAGAUUCCGCCAACGAAGCUCACUUGCAUGCCGAUACGUGUCGCAGCGGUUUACCAUGAGAGAGAGAGAGAGAGAGAGAGAGAGAGUGCGCAGCAGGAAACCAAGAAACGCUCGGAUGCGGGGGCUCCAGUUGAUCAGGAUGCCUCCAGGGAAGAACUGAAGAAAAGGAGCGAACAAGGUGAGACGGUGAUCAAGGGAGGAACCGGUGGCAAGUCGCUGGAAGCUCAGGAAAAUCUCGCCAAAGGCCGCAGUAAAGGUGGGCAGUCCGGUCAAACAUGAAGAACUUGGUGAAAAAACUUAUUUAGCAUGUGUUGUUUUUGUUGUAGUUUGUUUUAAAUCUGUGAAAAAGAGAGAAGCACCUUUUAGUUUCGAAGAAGUUUGAACCGUAUGAUCUACUUUUUACUUGAUCUCAAACUUUUGGCUUCCGAUGCAACGGCACGAGAUAAAACAAACUAUGGCAGAUGGGCCGCUUAC